rnacentral:rRNA from 1 species
GACGAACGCUGGCGGCGUGCUUAACACAUGCAAGUCGAACGGUGAAGCGCCUUCCUUUUUGGUGGGUGUGGAUGAGUGGCGAACGGGUGAGUAACACGUGAGUAACCUGCCCCCUUCUUCUGGAUAACCGCAUGAAAGUGUGGCUAAUACGGGAUAUUCUGGGUCUGUCGCAUGAUGGGUCUGGGAAAGAUAUUGUUUCGGUGGGGGAUGGGCUCGCGGCCUAUCAGCUUGUUGGUGGGGUGAUGGCCUACCAAGGCGGUGACGGGUAGCCGGCCUGAGAGGGUGGACGGUCACACUGGGACUGAGACACGGCCCAGACUCCUACGGGAGGCAGCAGGGGGGAAUAGUGCACAAUGGGCGCAAGCCUGAUGCAGCGACGCCGCGGGAGGGAUGGAGGCCUGCGGGUUGUGAACCUCUUUCGCCAGUGAAGCAGGCCUGCCUCGUUUGUGGGUGGGUUGACGGUAGCUGGAUAAGAAGCGCCGGCUAACUACGUG